AUUGAACGCUGGCGGAAUGCUUUACACAUGCAAGUCGAACGGCAGCACGGGGCAACCUGGUGGCGAGUGGCGAACGGGUGAGUAAUACAUCGGAACGUGCCCAAUCGUGGGGGAUAACGUAGCGAAAGUUACGCUAAUACCGCAUACGAUCUACGGAUGAAAGCGGGGGAUCGCAAGACCUCGCGCGAAUGGAGCGGCCGAUGUCAGAUUAGGUAGUUGGUGGGGUAAAGGCUCACCAAGCCGACGAUCUGUAGCUGGUCUUAGAGGACGACCAGCCACACUGGGACUGAGACACGGCCCAGACUCCUACGGGAGGCAGCAGUGGGGAAUUUUGGACAAUGGGCGCAAGCCUGAUCCAGCCAUUCCGCGUGCAGGAUGAAGGCCUUCGGUUGUAAACUGCUUUGUACGGAACGAAACGGUUCUCUCUAAUACAGGGGCUAAUGACGGUACCGUAAGAAUAAGCACCGGCUAACUACGUGCCAGCAGCCGCGGUAA
rnacentral:rRNA from 1 species